UCAGUUUCCCGCCCUCGUCCUCCGGCGGGAUGCGCGAGCUGAGCGCGAGGCGGGGCUGCUCGCGCCGUGCUGCCGUGGGCGGCUCAGGAGCACUGCUGUGGGACCGGAGCUGCCUCCGUUUCUCUGGUGAUUCCUAACGGCUCUUUGCUCGGAACUUUCUGACUGAGAAGUGCCCUGUUCCCUUUAAUGGGAGAAGAACCUGCUUCGGUCUCCUCAGGGGCGAAUUCCUUCUUCACAGGAUUUCUGUCGCCACGGCAGGGCUGCCUGUAGACGUUACGCUUCUGUGCUGUGUUUAUCUAGGACAUUAACCGUGUGUUCUCCUUGGGAAUCACUUGGGAAGGAAGCAUCCCAUAACAAAGUGCUGAGCAGUUCUCUUAUCUCCUUCACUGUCAUCUCCCUCUGCAGUCCCUAUACAUUUUUCCCUAGGAUCAUCUACCUCACUAAAAUAUGUAAGUGCAUGGUAUCCCCUGUUGAACACAGCUGGUGCAAGCUUUAAAAGGGCUUGGAGAAUUACUACAAGAGAGAUUAAGAGGGAAAAACAGUUAAUGGGAAGGACAAAAGGAUCUCAGUCCUCUUGGUUUAUCGUAGGAAUGGUUAAACGUGAUCAAAGCACAUGGGGAACAGGCUUGAUAAGAAAGAAUAAGCAAAGAUAUAACCAACCUUCAAGAAUGGAAGCAAUAUAAAUUACAGCUAAAAACAGAGAGGGAGUCUAUGAUGGCGAGAAUAAGUAACAUCGGACUAAUUUCCAAGUAUAAUGGAAACUUCCAGAAGGCUUUUGGUAAUGACGUAGUCAUUCUGCAUUCAGACACCUGAUUCACCCUUCUUUAUAGCCCUGUAACAGCCUGAGUUAUAAAUGAUGAUCUUCUCCCAAAUGGCAAUAACCAGCAUUGUUACUCUGUCCCAUAACUUCUCAUGAGGAAGACGUGGAAGCAGCAUCUGCUGUAGCUUGAGCAUUUCAUUAGACAGGCCGUUUACUUUUCUCACACAGCUAAGACUACACACCAUAGCUGUAUCUCAGCCAGGAAGGUUUUAUUUGAAAAGAUGGUUCGUGGGUAACCUGGAAUGCUCCAGAAAUUGUUGCUACUGCUCCCAAGCCUGAAAAGCCAGAUACUCUUCCACUGGCUGAAGAAGCAUGAGACACUGUCUUGCUCAGAGCAAAAUAUCCUACUGAAUCCACCAGGCAAACCAACUGCAAUUCUGAGAAGUUGAGUUACAACACCAGAACAUCCAUCCAAGCUGCUUUCAAUGACUUUCAGUCUAUGGCAGGAAGAUGUCCGAGUGUCCGGUUCAUGCGCUUCACUGCAACAGACAACAAAGAAUUUGCUGGCCCACUGACUUUUGCACGGACAUUUCUCAUUGUUCUUUGGUGCAUCUUUUGGGAAGAAGGGACAAGACAAAGCUGUCAACUCAUCUUUCUGAAUGAGCACAUAGUGUGGCCUGAAAUAUGAUAUGGACAUCACGGUGACAGUGAAAAGGCCAUUGUCCACGUGGCCAUGGUGCAGCAUGGGACCACAGCUGGAAGCUAGAACAAGUUGGCAAACAUCUUGUUCCAACUUCUGCUAUGCCAUCUGGUUUCCAGUUAGGUAACUGACAUUAAAUGCAUUUUCUCUGUAUUACCAUCUGGCAGCUGCUUGUACAACAACAGAGCAACACGCAGAAUUUGGCUAGCAGUUGUCUUAAGAAUCAUAUCAAGGAUACUUGAAACACUGAUUCUGAAACAAAAAUGGCUUACAAGAAGGGAAGUUCCUUUGGCUGGUGGCUUUACAUGCACAGAGUAUUGCUGGUAGGAAAAUGGAACGGAAAGUUCUAUAUCCUUGUGUUUUGCAUGUAUUUAUUUUGCAGAAGUGCCAUAAAAGUUUCUAAGGGGGUAACCGUACAGGUUUCUGAAGAGUGUAAUGUUGUAUGAAGUUAAAUUUUGUUCAAAAGUGUCUACACUUUUGCCAUGCUAUGGACGUACGUUCCCUUUUCCAAAAUCAGAGGAGCAGGGCUUUUCUCUUUUCCUGAAAUGAUGUAUGCCAAAAGUGAGCUUGGUGAAGAACAAUCACAGUAAUUAAUUAGUACAGACACAAGUCUCAAAAAACACUGUAACAAAUUUCAUCUAAGAAUUUAAGAGUAGUUGGCUGUAGUGCAACUGGAGGGUGAAAUCCAGUGAAACGGCUGUAGCAACAGGUCUUCACAUUUCUGAAUGUCAAAUUAGUGAAGCUUAGGGGGCCAUUGUAACCUUGCUGGGUUUUAAGUGUAACAGAAAGGAGUGAUUUAAGACAUGCAGUAGAAGUUUCAAAAAAUGAUUCCCUGACAAAACAAAUCAAUAUAAAUAUUGUUUUCUACUUCCUGCUGUGCAUUCCUGCCUCUUUUCCAGUCCUUCUGCUCAUGCUCGUAAGAUCCUCAUAAUUCAAAGCGUCUGAAAACCAAUCCAGAAGAAAAAGAGGUUGUUGGUUGGUUGGGUUUUUUUCUUCCUUUGAUUUUUUUUUUUUUUUUUCCUUAAUUCCAGGAAGAACAAAACUGAACUGUAAGAUAUUUGGCAGUCAGAGUUAAGCAUGGGUUAUUUGAUGCAGUGCUAUUUUGUCUCCACUCUGCUGAAGAAUAUUCAGUGUUUAAUCUUCUACUAUGUUUCCAGACAUUUCUAUAGAUUAGACAUAGGAUAUAUACUAAGUCUCUGGAAAGAGGGCUUUGAGUUGACUUCAUAAAAACGAGAAUUUCAGAUUCUAAAUGCAUCAGCAGUUCUGCCAAUUCUCAUUCUUCUAAGCACUUUAUUAAAAGCAUAACUACCAUUGGAAUACCAGUCUUGCAAUUCAAUCACCUGAUCCAAAAUCCAUUAUUUGAAGAAUUACUUAAGUUUAUUCUGGUUUCAAUUUCAAACAGCUUUUUCACAUGAAAGUGUGCAAGGCAACCUCUUAAAAGCCACAAUCUGAGUGCAAGCAGAAGUAUGAAUAGGUUUGAGUCCACUUACAGAAAAAUUUGGGGAUGACCAGUCAGUAAUAUAGAAAUACAGUUAAUGGCUGUACAGAUGUUACAGGGCACAGUACUGUGAAGCAAAGGUUUUCUACUGCAGACAGGAGUAUAACGUAUACAGUCUAGCCUGCACACUGUAAUGUAUAAUAGAAGUUAUUCUACCCAUGCUGAUGCUGCUGUUUCCAAGAACUACAGCCUCCAUAUCUUCUGCUGUUGUUCCCUUUGAAAUUUCUCGGGAACAUUGGACAGAUGGUGCAUUUUGACUCCCCACGUACCGAAUUGGGAGUAUUUCUGUAGCGCAGACAGGAAUAAGUUGUACUAAAAGAGAGAAGAGAGUUGACAAAGUCAUCUUUGAUUUUAGAAGUGUAAGUGACCCGUGUUCUCUCACAACUCUAGUUUUAUGAGCGCAGAGUUAUUUAUGCAGCUUAAAGGAACUAAUGAUCAUCUGUCCCUGGUAAUUAGAGGCUUUCUGUGUCAUAAUUUCUUCUGCUCUUUGAAACUAAGUCUAGUUAACAUGGUUUUCCAUAUUACACGUUGUUAAAUGUUUCUUUAGCUAGCCAUAGAUGAGCUGCUUUGUGCCGCAAGUUACCUGACUUUGAAAAGCAUCCUCCUUUACACAAAGACAUGGAAAACAAAAACCUGUGCUGCCCUAAUCAGUGCAUAGUAACAGAGACGAGAAUUGAGAUAUCUUGUUAGGAAAUGCACGAACUAGAGGACAACUAACACAAAGCUAACAGGAAUGAUUACUUUGUUUUACCAUACUUCCAAGUAACGUACUACUUAUUCCUCAGACAAUGCAUCUUCCCUUCAGAACUCUGAGCCUUGUACUGAUUAGCACACGCCAGAAUCAUUGUGGCUGUUUUUCUGCUCCCCUUCUCUGCCUGGUUGAUUUGUUUAAAAAGAAAAAAGAUAAAAACGUGCGCAUGUAAACCCAACAUGGCCCAGCUUUCAGUCAAUCAGCUUCAACGUGGACUGAAAAGACUCUAUCUAGAGAAAAUACAUAAAUUAUUCAAGACUGUUGGGUGCUUCAAAAAAAUCACUUAAAAUUUCUCCCUGCCCCAAUCCUCUCCUGUCAGCUGUAUCCUAAUCAGCUCAGCACAGAAUAUUUCACUUCCUUUCACCCUUUUUGUGCCGAAACACCUUCUUACUUUCUUUCUGAUGCUUUCCCUGCUUGGACUCAUUGCAUGCUUUUUGUUUGGGUUUUUCCCACUCUGACUUCUGAGCAACCUCCUUUGAGGUCUGACCAUCUCAGUUUGUGUUGUUAGCAGGUUUGCAGUCCUUGGGUGUUUCUUCAGUGCGCUGCCUCUUCAGAGAUUCACCCGGAGGAUGGUGUGUAUUGCUAUUCCAGGAGGACAGCCAUGAGGUUAUGAUAAUUGGUCACCGAAUUCAAAGCUCACUGAGUUUGAUGCCAGAUAGGCAAAGACCAGCCGGUGAGAGGCAACAUGCAGCUGCACUCAGAAAGGAUACAGGAGAGAAAACGAAACAAUGUGCUGAUGCUGGUCUGUACCCAGUGGGCUUAUGGAAAAGCCUGCAGGAAAAAGUCACUGCCUCCAACCCUACCUGUGUCAGGUCUUCAAAACAUCACUGGGCACCCAGCACGUCCCCUGCAUUUCCACGGUGUCACGUCAGCUUGUCUCUUUUGGCAAUAAAGCCUUGUGCGCUGAGGGCACACACAGCUCACAAUGGAAGGGGAAAUAGCAAAUCUCUAACAAAACAUUGUGCUCCAACUAUUGUUUAUCCAGAGGAGAGAUGCGCAGCACGAAGACUGGUAGUUGUAUCACGCGUUAAGGCACGCUGUGUUCCCUCUUUCCUGCAGCAUCUCAUCCACUACCGGGCCACAGAGCACACCAGCGUGGGGAACACCAAGACCCCACUGGAUGAACCACCCCACAGCAGCCAAGAGAUGCUUUCCUCCCUUUUCUCAACUGUCCCAGGCCACGCAAUGUGCCAUUUUGCUUGUGCUCCAUCAAUAUAAUUGCCAGGAUUGUUGUUUCUGGUUGAGGAUCUCCAAGUGCUUUUUCUGAAUAGCCCGUGGAGACUCAUGCUUGUGUUACAUUCACCCAGCACAGUCAGAACUAAAAAUCCCUUUUCCCCAUCUCAGCUUUCAGCACGUUCCUCUGCACAGGAAGACUUCAAACCUCCAUCCACCGCACUGUCUCUUCAUGUAGUGAGAAAAUUGGUCUUAAUGCCUAAAAAUAAAGAGGACCUUUAUAUUAUCAGGCAUUUGGGCCUGAAAUAGGAAGCUCUCUUGUUGCUGACACCUUGCAUUUACCACGGCGUUUCUGCAGGGACGUCGUGCUACCUGGUUCCUAUCCCAAGCGGCCACCUCACAAAUUGACCAGCUGUAAGGGCUCCUGCUCCAGAACAAAGAAUCAAUAGCAUUCUGCUUGGAUAGCCUCAAAGGGUGCUUAACUUUUAAUUGAACACUGGAAAAGAAAUUGCAAAGUGCAGGAGCUCAAAACAGCAUGAAGCCCCGCAUAAUUAUCUUUCUCCUUGCAGUUCCUUAUGCAGGCUGGAGACCAAUUAAACACAUGCGCAGGCUAAAAAAUGAUUUGCAGAGAUUUAUCUUUUGUCAUUUUGCAAGUGGACUGAAGCAGAAAGUGAGUGUAAACAAGGAAUGGGAGCUGCUGCCCUGCACCGUUUGCUCUGGUACCUCAGCUUUUAGCUUUACCCACCUACAGCAAAGGCAGCACAGACUUUGCAUUUGCUUGCAGUGUCCUGAACUUGGCUCAUCUCAAUGGUGAACACCAGGAUUUGAGAGCAAUAUGGAUACGUAUAUGGGCUUUUUGAAGCGUUUUGAGACCGGUUUCUCAUGCUACACAGUUGUAUUCUUUAUCAAACUACUCGUCCUAAUGUGAGCUGUUGUGUUCAAGAAAUGUUUAGAUGUUGUACUGAGUGGGACAAUAUCCAUGGUAGGUGGACAGUUGGACUGGAUGAUCCUGGAGGUCUUUUCCAACCUUGGUGAUUCCAUGAUUCUACCAUUAUAACACAGAAGCAAAACAAAGUAAACACUUCUGUCUUCCUGCUGCAGAAAGGCAAAGCCAAGCCAGGUCUUUGUUGACAAAAUACACUCCAUUUUAAUCAUGCUAACAAGAAUACUUGUAACAUUCACUGAGUCAUACUUGGGCAGCAGCAGCACCGCUGCACUUGUCAAAGCUCAGGAAGGGUCUGGAUGACGCUCUCAGGUCUAAUUUUGGGGUGGUUCUCUGUGGAGCUGGGAGUUGGAAUGGAUGAUCCUUAUGGAUCCUUUCCAGCUUGUGAUAUUCUAUGAUUCUAUCAAAUGCCCCAAAUGAGAAACCCUUCUCAUGUCAGUGUGGCACUACAUCACCCUCGAAGGAGCUUUGAUGGUCCUGGGACUGCUUUGUACCCCCCCACACACACUGCCAGCCCUGUGCUCCCCUGCCUGCUCCGUGCCUAUAGCUCGGCACCAACAGCCCAUGCACGGCAGCCUGGGAUGCACGCUGUGAGCGCAGCCAGAGCUGCUGCACAUCCCCAUUGCACAGCCAAUGCUGCCACCCUAAUGCAAAGCAGAGAAUAUGUCCGCGCUGGGCAGGAGGGGAGAGCAUCUGCGCACGGGGCACGGAGGUGCGGGAUGUUUUAUCCGCUGUGUCGCAGGAAUGCAAAGGCAGACACAGCGCUGACUGCUGCGGGGCCCUUCCUCAGCCUCGGACGGGGUGAGAAGGGAGCCUUAAAAGAUGCGGAGGACCGUUAAAGCGACGGAAAAAAAGACUUCUCGCUGUCAUUUUUAUAGAUCUUAAGGCACGAGGCACCGCGAACGCUUUAAAAGCGCCCAGAAACGCGCCGAAUGCGGAAAAUAAAUGCUUUUGCCUAUUAGCUGAAUAUUUUGCCUCUGCGGACGGCGCUGCGCUGCUCCCUCCUCCGCCGGGAGUUUCCCGGGGCGGCGGGCGGCAGCCGCAUGGCAAUGCUGACAUCUGCCGGCGCUUUGCUGCCGUCCUGCAGCCCGCAGAGCGCGCGGUACGCAGCGCAGACACGGGGAGGAGCGGAGCUCGAAGCUGCGAGCCAAAUAACCGAGCGAGGACGGCGAUUAAUCGGUGAGCGCGGCUGUGCGCGCGUCGAAGCACCGCACCGCACCGCACCGCGAAGCGGCUGCGUGUCAGAAAGUUGCAGAGUUAAGAGGAAAACGGACUAUCCCUAAUUACGUCCUCUUAAGAGCGCCUUUAUCGGAGUAGCCCUAAUGAUGAGCGAUUGAUUUCUUUAAUAAACCAGUGCUGCGGCCGAUCCUGCUUGCGUCUCCUCAGCGCCAGCACCAGCCCGGCGCUGCGCACAACAUGGUGGUGCAAAACACAGCAGGCUCCUACAACAGCCCUGCCUGUCCUCCUGGUGGAAGCCCUCUGCAACAAGAAAAACUCCUCGGACGUGUUGAUGACAGUGGUGCUCUCUGGUAUGCCGGAGCGCGUGAGCCAAGCCCCUCUUUUGCUCUGUUUGGACUCAGAUCUCCUUUCUGCUUGCCUAACCCAGAGCAGCAACAUUUUUCCCUCUGCUUCCACAACAUCGUGCCGUGCUGAAUCAGAAGGGGAGGAGGGAAGCAAACAGUAAAAAGCUUCUUUGUGAGACAGAAAAUUGGUAUCUCGCUGAGCUGUUCUCUAUCCUAGCAUUUGUAACGCAGCACCGCCCGCCUCUUGCAACACGCUCGCGGUGCAUGCGUGCCACGAGGAGCUGUUUUCUUUGCGACUGGGGGAAGCUCAGCAAGGCGAGGUGCUGCCUCUGUCCCAGCUGUCCUCUGCGGCUGCCCCUGGCUUUCACCUUGCAGGGGCUCACGUGUGCCCACUGCCCUACAGAGCAGCAUUUCUUGCGAUGGUGCUUGCUGGUGCGAAGGAAGCAUCUGCAGACCCUCACUGGGGUGGAGGUCUUCAGGUUCUGGGCACUGAGUUCCCAGGUGGUUGUGGUAGGACAGGGAGGGAGAAGGACCACGUGAGCCAGCAGAAGUGGGGGUCAGGGCCCCCUGCCACCAGUCUUUGGCAGUACCUGAGCCAACACUUUGGCAUCGUGGCUGGAACUCCUUGGGAAAGGAGGUGGCUGAAGGAGCUCCUGUCCCUGUCCUGGCAGCGCGGGAGGUCCCACCCGUGGCCAGGAAAGCUGCCCCAAGGAAGAGACAGUGCUUUCCAGCAUGAGAAUAAAACUAAUAUGCAGCUGUAGCUAAAUGGAGAGAGAUGGAAAGCAAUGCUCCUGUGCCCCACAUGAGAGCAUUCAGCCCUACCCACAUGCCAGGGGGCACAAAGUAUGGGUGCAUCAGCAGCACAGCGGGGUGCUGGCCUCGUGUCCUGCUCUCUGUUGGUUAUGGCUGUGGGUUUUGGGGUUUUGGCACCUUCCACCUUCCCUGAUGUUUAGGGAGAGGUGAGGGGAGGCAUUUUGAGGUGAUGAUAUAAUCCUUCUCUGGUUGUUUUUUUGAGUGUAUGAGGUAAUGAAUGUCUUCAGUACUUUAAAGGUGCCGUGAGAAGCUGCAGGGCAUGUGUGGAUGCCAGCGUUUUAUGGAAGGGGUGGUUUUUACUGCCAACAGACUUAAAAAAAAUCCCUCGUAUUAAUAAGGCUGGAUGUUAUUGCAUGUCAGGAGUUAUUGUGAAUUAUAAAGUACUUCUUACUCGGUGGGUAAUGAAAACACUUGGCGCUCGGUCCCAGUCGCUAAGGGUAGAUGGUGGCGGCUUUAUCUACAAUAGCCAACUUGACCCGGAACUUUCUAUCAUUUUAAAUGAUGUUUUAGUGCUGCCUUUUGCUCUCACCUGAGCUUAGGGCAGCUUCAGCAUUCAGCACGGAUUAACAGAGCUCUAAAAGAAAACGAAAGAAGGGGACGCUGCAUGCUGUGGUGGUAGUGCACCCAGACACUGCUCCACAUACACAUGCAUAUGGAUGCUCCUCGUGCAGCAUUGCAGAGUUGGUCCUCUUAUGACACGAGCUGCUGUUCACAACUAUUACUCCCCUGCUGAUAACGUGACACAUCAUAGAAAUGCCAAAAAUAUCUCCAGGAGAAAAGGAGUGGAGAUGGGUGCAAGUGGAGAGCUAAAUAGUUGCUCUCAAGCGUACUUGUCUAAAAAAAGCACCCCGCCUUUAACACCAAAGGGUAUUACUACAACAUAGCUGUGAGUUGGCAAACACUCUGUCAUAGGGGGACUCCUCAGGACCUUACUGGAGUAUUAUUUGUCCCUAAAGUGCAUUUGUAUACUUUUAACAUUAAAAAGCAAGAGAGCAGGAACGCUCAGAGCUCUCUCUGUCUCUUUCUCUCGAUAACGUUCUUUGAAUGAUUAGGUUGGGUAUGGGUAUAUCUCUUGAACUGGGGAUUACAAGUACAGCAUAACCUUUUUUGAGGUGUAGGUGAAACCUAGCCCAUCUAGUGGGCUGAAAAAUCUCAUAAGCACCCAGGAAUGUGGUCACCCUUUGGCAGCAGUGACGAGUGAUGUCACCCAAUACACUCGAGAUCUCCUGCCUCGUCCCUGACUAGGUUCGGUACUGGUCAGUCCCAUUUGGCAUGGAGAAAAGCUCCCACAUGAGCUAUGUCACCAGCAGCAGAGCCAAAUCAAGACAAAGAUGGAGUAAGUUGGGUCAAAGGAGCUGCUGGUGGAUCUAUUUUCAUCAUACUUGGCAAGCCAACAUUUUAACUCGUGCUUAUUUUAUUAACAAGAACAAGUCCGAGUCAGAAAUGUGAUGUAAAGGGAGGAGGAAGAGAAAAUACCCCCCAGCAAUUCAGAUGCUGUCCUCCUCUGAGAUACGAAGAUGCAUCAGGAAAACAGCAAGGAAUAAUGUUUGGGAUUACAGCAGCAGCCAGGGGAGCCAAACACAAGAGUCACUGCAAUUACCUUAGGGAUGAGAGUAACUUGCAGCCAGCCUUCCUCUGAAAUGCAGGCGGAGAAUGACCACAGAUGCCUUACAGGAGACUUAAUUGUCCUUGCCAACAAGGCUCAUUAUCCAUACAUAAACAUAUGUGCUGCUUUUUUAACAGCAAAGUGCACUUUUUCAAGAGAGUAUUUUACAUCUGAACUGCUUGAGUGUCAAAUUAGAUGAGUCUGGCUUGCUUUUAAUUACGCCAGCCAUUGGUUUGUGCAGAAGGAGAAGGGCUGUGCCACUUCUGAAGGCACAAGAGGAUUGCUAUGUAUAAAACAGAUAGUUUCAUCAUUCCACGAGAGCAGUGCUGGAGAUCAGCAACGAGUCUGAAUUCAUAUUUCAGAAGGUUUUUGCUCUGGGUUUCAGCCAAGAUCACCUUUUCAAGAGGUUUCUGCCUCUCACUGAUUCAAGUUUACAUAAAACGAGAGCUGGACCUUGAGUCUGUUGCCCCACACCUCCUGCAGUCACUUGUACUUCAGCAGGCAGGUGGAACACACGGCCAGGCCAGAAAAAUAACUUUUUAUCCUCAUUCUGCAUUCGUGUAAAUCAGUGGAGAACCAGACCCCAGGGAAAUAGGCAAUUUCCUGCAGGUAUUUAACAAGGCGCACAGGGAAAACAGAAAGAGGAUGGCCGUUCCCAGGGCAGAAUUGCCAAGGAAGCCAUUUUCCCUCCUUGGGCUCCAUUUGCAGGCACCUUGCUUCUGAUGGAGAUGAGCCCCAGGUUUUUCCAAGGCCAUGUAUGUGUGCUGUUGGGAGGGGGCACAAACUGAGGACUAGUGGGAUGGGCAUCCGGGCAAGUUGGGCAGGUGGGGCGAAAGCACUGAGGGGAUUCAUCUUUUUUCCAGGCCAUCGCAUGGAUGUUAACCAGGAGCCCCGUUCACAUCUUUUCAGUUUGGCCAGGUUUUUCAAAGGAUGAAAAUAACUGCAGAGGUAAUCAAACUGCUGGAUAUUCUAGUGGGGGAAGUGUAGCUUAAACGUGCCAAAAUGCAGCUUCUGCCAAAAGCUGCUCGAUGAACAAGACGGUUUUUGUGAUCUGGUGUUCACUUCCCUCUUUUCGUAAGCAGGAGUGAAGAAUAACUGUUUUGGCAAGAGCUGGACGUGUGGUCUGUCCCAUGAGCAGGCUGGCUGGCACAGUGCACCACAUUCGCAGAGCCUGGGCAGCCCUACAGUUCACAGCAAGUUAAAAUCACCGGGCUUAUUUUGUAUGCAGCCUGGUGAGGUGCCCCAGGGGCCCCAGCACUGUGAUUCAGCAGUGCUAACACAACCUCUGCCAUCUCCACGCAUGGACUUUGCAAAGCACAGCUUGCCAUCCUUUAUUUCUUAGGAAUAAAAACUGAUAGCCAGGCCUGGCUCCUAUCGGGGCAAGGCACAGAUCUCUCCCGUGAACAGGACAGCAGACUUUGCAAGAGUAUUUUUGGGGUUCUACAUUUUCUAGAUAAUUACAGUAAAACAUGGAAUUUUGUGAUGAAAGCCAUAGUUAAAGUGCAGUGUUGAAAGCCUUUAAAAAGUCUGUAUUCAGUACGAACUUAGCAGGAAAACAUCUGUGUGUACAGGAAUGGGAACCUGAUGCCUGCAGCAAGUCUCGCCUCAUACAAAUAUAAGUUCAGGUUUGAAACUCGUAACUCAGGGUUCAGUCUCUCAUAUUAAUGUGAAAAAAACCUUUAAGAAUCAAUUGGAGAUUUCUGUUGUCAGAGCAAGGCCACGAACUGAGGCUCUUCAGCCUCCUGAGUGCCACUUCUAAAAUCUCAAGGUACUCUGUACUCUUCGUGUCAAAAACAGGGGGGGAACUACAUGAGUGAUGGCUGUUACUUCUCAGCUAGUACUGAAGCGAGGGGUCCUGCCUGUUUGUACCAAAAGCAGCAUCAGCAAACCAGUGUGUGCAACCAAAUCCAGGCAUUUAAAAAAGCUGAAGCGUAAGUCAUCAACCUGCAAGAGAGAUCAGAAAACCAGGAGACAUUAUAGUCCAUUCUAAUUGCCCUCUUUCUUCUUGCCAGUGUCCCUUCAGAACUUGGUUUGCAAGAGCUUUUCCCUGCUGAAGGCGUUCAGCUGUCACUUUUGUUUUCACCUCCUUUGUUACUCUGAGCUUUCACUCCAAAAAAUGGGAUUUAUUACUACAGAAAUUGAGAUAGCAGGGAAACGCAGCGAUGUCUGGAGACUCGGACUGAGGUCAACAAGAGUGAGCAAUAGAACCAUGUAUAACAAAACAGGGAUACAACAAAUAAGAGCAGCCGAUGUAUUUAUAUCUCCUUCCUCAUUGAUGAGAUAGAAAAUGGACACAAACCCACGAAAGAAAAUCCUCUAACGAACCCAAAGCGUGAACAAGAGAGAUGUGAGUAUAUAUCGAUGUAUAAGGAUGUACAUCCUGCAGAGGGAGCAGCAGCUGUGCCCCGUGGUUGGAAGGAGCUCUGGGCACAAGAAGCAGCACAGGGUGGGGAAUGGCAGGGACAAGGGGCACAGACACCUUUGUGCCCUUGUUUUGGUUCCCAAUCCUGCAGUAUUUGGCUCCGUCCGGUGUUCAAACAUUGCAAAUCAAAUGCUGCACCAAUUAGGUCAUUGGUUUUAGAGGGAAGCUCUGAGUGAACGACAAGGAUGGAGAGAUUUGGGCUUUUGUCCAUGUGUGUUUGUGAAGCUGCUUUUCAUAGAAUGAGAGAACCAGGGAAUAUCCUGGAAGGGACUCACAGUGUUACCUCUGAGUCUGAUCCUGGCUCCACACAGCACCACCCAAACCCCGCAUCUGAGAGCCAUGUCCCAAAGCUCCCGGAGCUCCGGCAGCUCAGGGCUGUGUUUACAACAAGUGCAUGCUGUAGAAGUUCUCCCAAGACCAACAGCUGGCAAAGCUGCUGCCUGCUGGGCCCCUCUUUUCCCAUUUUCAGCAUGCUCAGGUGGUGCGGGGCUGUUUCAGGGCACAUAAAGAGCUUUGCCAAGGAGCAUGCAAAGGAAGGCUGUUCAGCGUGGGUGACUAUUCCCCUCCCCCUUUUUUUUUCCCUUUCUUUCCCCCCAGACGGAGCCUUGGCACAACUUCUGGAUCUCCUACGUUGCCAUCUGAUAGCAGCGCUCGUCUUGUGUGGCACUUGGCACCCACCGAAGGACUUUUAGGCAGGGCUUUUCGCAAGUAACUGUGAAGUCUCUGCAUGGUGCGAGCUCUGGAAUUCACUCAGAAGGUGAUGAUAACUCCAGAAUCUGCUGAAAAAGUAACCCUGGUCUCGUCCUCUUGUGGCAGCCUGAAGUUGGAGUGGGUGAGACUGGCCGGGCCACUCAGGGAUGGACAUGUGUGAGACUUUCUCCUACUGACUGGGAAAGGACUCGGUGGAGGAAGUAAAUUAGGAUGCUUAAUUAACAGGCCGAGGUAAUUAGUGCAUGCCCAGCUUCAGGACUGCUGGGAAGGUACAGAAGUCAAUGGGAAGAGCCAGGUGAGGUUUGGUAGGUGUUAAUCCGGUGCUUUGUCUGCUAAAUCUCUGCUGGGAUGAGCAAGCACUGGUUAUGUGACCCUGGUUAUGGGAUACUGCAGGCUCAGGAGAGCCCGGUUGGGUUUAAUGCUCGAAUUUCCCCAAAAUGUGGAUCCUGCUCUUAAAUAACAGCAGUAAAGCUAUUCUACAUUCUAAUGCAUGGUGGUAUAAUAAAUGUAGUGAAACCGAAUCCCGUCUCCUGUAGAGCACCAGAAUUUGGGGGGC